GUCGUCCGAUGAUUUUAGAAAUUUUACCACGUCUAAGUAAAUACAAUAUAAGUAGUAUUACUAAGGUUUAAGCUUCCACGUAUAUUUAUAAUCUAAUUGCAGUAAAAAACCUCUCAAAAAUUAAAGUUCCUUAAAAACUCAAAAGAUUUAGCGAUGAUACCGUAAGAAAGUAAAUCAAAUAGGAAACAAAUAAGGUAUUCUGU